rnacentral:misc_RNA from 1 species
GAUUGGUAUACACAGAUUUUUGUGAGCGACUGUACAUUACUGUUGAUAUACGUCGUGUUGAGUAUCAAAGCUUACUCGAAUUGCUACCCCCCUACGCGAGCAACUUAGCGAAAGGCAAAGAGAAACGCGUCGUUUGGAUUUACUGACUGAUAAGAUUCAGCAAGAAAAAUUGGCAGUGUACGAAGUGUUAUAGCAUUGUCUCAAACAAAUUGCGAAUGGUUGAAAAUUCCGUUAACAGCCAAUACACUUCCCUUUGCCGCGAAGUUCUGCGUUAAAAUUGAGGUUUCUGAACAACGAUAGAUCAUUUCGCGCAGUUAGUACGCAGUUUUCUAAAAGUGGAACAUAAAAAGUACACUGAAUG